GACGAACGCUGGCGGCGUGCUUAACACAUGCAAGUCGAACGGAAAGGCCCUGCUUUUGUGGGGUGCUCGAGUGGCGAACGGGUGAGUAACACGUGAGUAACCUGCCCUUGACUUUGGGAUAACUUCAGGAAACUGGGGCUAAUACCGGAUAGGAGCUCCUGCUGCAUGGUGGGGGUUGGAAAGUUUCGGCGGUUGGGGAUGGACUCGCGGCUUAUCAGCUUGUUGGUGGGGUAGUGGCUUACCAAGGCUUUGACGGGUAGCCGGCCUGAGAGGGUGAACGGCCACAUUGGGACUGAGAUACGGCCCAGACUCCUACGGGAGGCAGCAGGGGGGAAUAUUGCACAAUGGGCGGAAGCCUGAUGCAGCAACGCCGCGUGCGGGAUGACGGCCUUCGGGUUGUAAACCGCUUUCGCCUGUGACGAAGCGUGAGUGACGGUAAUGGGUAAAGAAGCACCGGCUAACUACGUG
rnacentral:rRNA from 1 species